ensembl:lncRNA
UGUUUUCUCCUUUCAUUUUUGCUCUGUCGUUCAUUAUGCGGCGGUCAUAUACAUUUUAAAAGUUUCCUUUCCAUUUACGCACCACUAUGCCUAGUCUUAUCUCUGGUUCCCGCCCACACAUCUACACGCUCCACCCAUGUACAGACUGUCUUCCUUCCUGUAACUAUCUCGGAAAGCUCGACGUGAACUUCUUCCUGUAAGCAUUUGAAUUGAAAAUCGGGCGAAAGAGAGGUAAGCCAAAGUAAUGCUAUGUUUCCAUGAAGAGGGCACAAACAUUUCUUAAGUAUUUCAUAUAGUAACACACAUUUUGUCCAUAAUCAAGACAAAAACACAGGAGGUUGUAACGAGGGAUAACCUACGACAGUGUCACCGUGACUCCGGAAUGCGGAGGUUUCGCAUGCCGUGUGUGCCGUUAUUAGUGCGAGACUGCUGUACACAAAACAUCACACCGGUGUUUCAGUUAAAUUGGUUAUCAUGUUAACAAACCAUAUCUGCUUACUUGCUGCCUUCACGACACGUCAGAAAAGUGUGCGGAAAUUCAGUGACUCGUUUUACCUGACUUGACGUCACAACAACUAUAACCAUGGCGUUCUCCGUCGUGAUAAUGUUAUUACAAAGGCUAUCUUUGUAAGGGUACUUUUAACAACUAAUUUACUAUUGUAUGUGGUAUGUCUGUAUUGUUAAUGUAUUGGCGACGUUGCCAGCGUCACAGUUUCUUCAAAGACAUUUGCAAUAAUUUAUUUCAGCAUACUCGUCUAAUCGCACUUGAUUGAUAUUAACAUGAUUGGCUAUUGAUAUGACUCAAACGGACAAAAAAUAAAACAUUUAAAUGUAUAGAGUAAAACAUUAAAAAGUACAGCCCUAGAUGCUAGGUAGGCCUAAUACUAAACUGUACAUUAUUAAUAAAAACAAAAUAAGUAUUUAUUUCGUGAAAAAAGGAAUGCAAAAUAAGCAACUUGACAAUUGACAUGAAGUAGCAAUAACAAAUAGCUUACAGAGCCUAUGGUAGAUGCAAUGCAACAAGCAAGAAAGUGUUUUUUAAAGUACAGCAAUAUUAGAAUGAGAUUUCCCACCAUAGCAUAGAGCACGUACACACACACACACACACACACACACACACACACACACACACACACACACUCACACAAACACACACACACACGUACACACAGACACUCUCACACACACACACACACACACACACACACACACACACACACACACACAAACACACACACACGUACACACAGACACACAUACACACACACACAAACACACACACAAACACACGGCAUAGCAUAGAGCGCACACACACACUCACACACACACACACACACCCUCACACACACACAAACACACAGCAUAACAUAGAGCACACACACACACACACACACACACACACACACACACUCACACAUAGGGUUGUCACGAUACCAAAAUUAUGACUUCGAUACUAUACCUGCCAAAAUAUCACGAUCCCCGAUACUUACGAUACCACAAAUACGAUACGAUACCACAAAUACGAUACUGGUAUAUUUAUCUAUGAUAGUAAUAAACAAAACAUCUGUAAGGUUCCCUUUUUUACCAGCUUGUUCCUGCCCAGCUUUUUGAACACUUAACAAAUGGCAUUCAUAUUAGUAUUAGCCCACAGCAAGAUAUUAAUGAAAACUACAUGGUGACAUCAUAGCAUUGAUUAUACACGGUUAUGUAGACCUAUUGUCCGUAUCUGACUAUAUGACUGCAUAGUUAUUUCCAUAAGUAUGAAUUACAUAACUUUACAGAUGUGUGUUUGAGGUGGAAAAAACCUAAAGCUAUGUGGGUUGGGUACAUUAAAGAUGGACACAUAAUUAAAGGGCAAUUUCUCCUCUUUAUUGAAAAACAUGCCACCACAUACCUUUGCACCAAUACACACAUGCCAUUACACUAUGGGAACAAUGACACAGCCUGUCUGUCUGGUAGAACUUUGAAUUAUGAAUAUUCACACUUUCGAUUGCAAUUGUUUAUGCACUUAUUACAACUGAACUAUUUACACACUUUACAAACUAUUUACACACUAACAGAAACACUAACUCUAUAAAUUAACUGAAAUGUAUUUUGUGAUGGUCUUGUUAGCAACUGAACAUGUUCUAACAAAAAAAAUUAUAAUAGUCGUGACGAUAAUGUGCAUUGUCUCAUUUUCUGGACAGUUCUUUUGCCAGAUGAAGCCACUUGCUUGAUGUUUGACUGUGUUAGGAAAGUCGUUAGCAACCUAGCCAACAUGGCUAUCACAAUAACAUGACAAAGAAGCCGACGCAAGAGCACUUAAUACUAGCAUCAGGGGGGAAAAAACUUAAUACUAGCAUCAAUGUCCAAGCCUGUUAUAACAAGCUUGCUAACAUCACUAACGAGAUGUCUUGCUAGCGGCAAAAUUUAGCAAAACCUGUUAAAUUAGCUUACUUUGUUUAUGACAAACUAACAAGUCAACAACUUUCCUAACACAGUCAAACAUCAAGCAAGUGCA